CGUCCCGCUGGGGCCGGGCUGGCUGCUCCCCCCAGGCUGGGCCAUUUCGAGGAAGGAGGCAGCCGAUGUCUCAUCUCACACAAGAGGGACAGGACUGAGUGGGCCAUGGGGACUGAAUUCACCUGUGGAAUUCAGGGCAGAGUUGGAGCACAUUUCUGAAUCAGCAAAUAGUCUGGAAGCAUGUGCAAUUCUAUGGGCUCAUUAAUGAUAGAAAGAUUACUAUAAAUGGAAGGAGUACUUCGAGUUGAUUUGCCAUCAUUGGCAAAAAAGAAGCAGUUCAGUUGUAUCGACUAUCGGCUUUGUUUUUUAUGCCAAAAGAGUUCUAAUGAGGCACUGGUUAAGAUGUCAGCAUCAAGUCAAAAAUUACUGGAAUCCAUCUGCAAAUGGCAUUAGUGUGGAGAUGAAGAGUAACAUCUAGUAGCUGCAUCUUUGGAGAAUACCACCGUGGAGAACUGGGUUAAACAAAAUGCUUCAGUGGCACGUCACAUGCUUAUAAGAAGUGCGCCCAUAAACUGAAUUUGGAACGGCUGGAGAGAAAGUACAUCAAGCACCCAGGAAAAUGUUGAAGAUGCCAAGAUGAGUGCCAUCUGUGGGCGAGUCUUUGCUGUUCUUUAUUUGAUCUGUCAGGACUGCUAAUUGGCGUUUGUACCUCACAGCACUGGAAGACUUUGUUAAAUACUUCUUUGCUGUAGAUUUAACCAGCUAUAUUGUGAUGAUUGCCUGGUACCUCCCUGAAAUAAGAGGUGUAGAAAAACAGAGGAAUUUUGAAAGGGAAAUUGGGUUGUUAAAAGGCCGCCAACUCCCUUCUGUGCACUUAGUUCAGAUGAAGCCCUAGAACACUGGUUCCCAAACUUGUUCCACUGCUUGUGCAGGGAAAGCCCCUGGUGUGCUGGGCCGGUUUGUUUACCUGCCAUGUCUGCAGGUUCAGCCGAUUACGGCUCCUAGUGGCCGGGGUUUGUGGCCGCGAUUGGCUGAACCUGCGGAUGCGGCAGGUAAACAAACCGGCCCAGCCCAGCAGGGGCUUUCCCUGCACAAGUGACAGAACAAGUUUGGGAACCACUUUCCUAGAACAUAAAAAUAGAGCAACGAAAGUGAAGGGGGGUAGAGUGGGCAUAACACAGUAUCCAAAGGCUCUUUCACAGUUUUUCCUGACAAAUCCAGAACUACAUCCAUCAAGUUUUCAAUGAAACAUUAAGCAUGACUGGGAUGACUUCCCCAGAAAAAGCCAAGCUCCAUCUAAAUUCAUUAGGUGCAGUUAUAUGCCAAGAAGGGGCAAUUUUAAAGCUACAGGAUGGCAACCUGUUUGGGCCGGAGCUCAUUAAUAUUAUGAUAAAAACAGUCUUCAGUGAUGAGAUAACUGAAGAUGUCAGUCAAAUGCAUACUUCUGGUCAUGAUUUGUAUGAAACCUUUAAAACCCAAAGAAUUAUUCCAGACUAUUUCAAACUAUGGGCUCCAGUCAAGAAGAACAGACUAAAGCUGUGCUCUUAUAUAAGAGAGAAAGUCAGAGUGAAGGUGGCAGGGACAAUUACUGAGUUAACCACACAUAGUACAUUGUUUGCUCUUCUCCUGGUUGUGUCCAGAUCUCAAAAUGAUGUUGAUAUGUGAGACUUUGAAAAAAGUACAAGUUCUCUGUGGUACCAAAAUUGAUGUUUGAAUGUGAUAGAACAAUGUAUAUGUGCCAGGAGAAAAGCAAACUAAUGCACAUCUUCCAUUGUGUUCCUAAGCCACCACGUAUUAACAAUGUGACCGGGACCUUAUACCAGCAAAGGUCUUUCAGCAUAGCAAUCAUAGAUGCUAUGGUUGAGAUAUAUGCUCUCAACAAACCAGAAACUGUUAAUACCUGCCAAGAUUUGGCUGAACACUUCAUUAUGAAGCUACAGAGAAAAUACUGGAUGUAUGACAAAGUCCCCCUUGCAUUUGAUAUGUAUGCAGAGAAAGCAAUGAAAAAUAGUACCAGGAAGAAGACACUCCAUGAUAUUACAACUGUCCAAUAAAAAAUAAUUGACUCCACAAACUUCUCCAAUGUCACAAUGGAAGAUUGACUGGAAAGACCAAAUUAUCUUACUGGAAGGCAUUUGAUUAAGCCCCCAGAGACUUUCCUCACUCUUAAGGUACUCGGAACAGCUGAGAGAGUCACUGAUGAGGUCAUAAAUGCACUGGAGGCGUUUGUAUGCUGAGUUUAUCAUUUUAAGACCAACAUGACAACACUCGCAGAGCUACAUAGAUGGAUGUUUUCCAAGAAGCAGACAAAUGGAGAAAAAUUGCCACUGAAAAGGGGUGCGUUUAUACCUGCUAACACCAAGGCAAAUUAUUGAGUAAUGGAAUGGCUCCAGAAUGAUUGAACACAUCCAAAACUAUUCUCCCUAUGGAUGAGUCUUGUUGUAUGUGAAAUACCAUAUACUCCUGAAUUAAUCCUUCAGCUAAUCAAAUGCUCAUCUGCAAAUACCAGAUGCUCACUCUGUAAAUGUUUGGCCAUCAGCCUGUCUUGUAUGGAGAUGUGCGAGUGUGGUGUGGACAAAGGUCAGUGUGACAGCAUGUCUAGCAGUGGUGCCCUAGACUGAGAUGACAUGGAUGGUGAUUUUGCUGAAUAAAUGUUUUCAAUCCUGCAAGUCAAGGCUAACUUCUCUAGAAUUACCAAAGAUCAAUGUCUUUUUUUUUUUAUGUAAGCAUUGCAUUCCUGCGUCGAAGUAUCAUUAAAUAAAGUUGAUUUUUAAGCAU